UGAGCUUGAUCCUGGCUCAGGAUGAACGCUAGCGGCAGGCUUAACACAUGCAAGUCGAGGGGUAUUUAUCUUCGGAUAGAGAGACCGGCGCACGGGUGCGUAACGCGUAUGCAAUCUACCUUUUACAGAGGGAUAGCCCAGAGAAAUUUGGAUUAAUACCUCAUAGUAUAUAGACUCGGCAUCGAGAUUAUAUUAAAGUCACAACGGUAAAAGAUGAGCAUGCGUCCCAUUAGCUAGUUGGUAAGGUAACGGCUUACCAAGGCUACGAUGGGUAGGGGUCCUGAGAGGGAGAUCCCCCACACUGGUACUGAGACACGGACCAGACUCCUACGGGAGGCAGCAGUGAGGAAUAUUGGACAAUGGGCGCAAGCCUGAUCCAGCCAUGCCGCGUGCAGGAUGACGGUCCUAUGGAUUGUAAACUGCUUUUAUACGAGAAGAAACAUCCCGACGUGUCGGGACUGACGGUAUCG
rnacentral:rRNA from 1 species